GGACUUCCAGGAGGACGAUUUUGAGGCCAUCCCUAUUGAGUCUGCCGAGGGAGCACGCAUGGUGGACUUGACCGUGUUCAAGAUUCUCCAGCUAAACCUCCUCCCGCAUAUGUGGAGAAGAUGAUUCGUACAGCACGUGGC